rnacentral:tRNA from 1 species
GGGAGUGUAACUCAGUUGGUAGAGUAGCGGCCUUUUAAGCCGAUAGUCGUGGGUUCAAGCCCCACCGCUCCCA